UGAUAUUCUUUCCACGUCCUUCUCUAAUAUCACUCGCUUGACAUCCUUUCCACCAAUUCCACUAUUCACCUCAUUAUUUAUAGAUGUUGAUUUUGAGGUAAGAAUAUCGGAAGGAGCCCACUCCAAGUAUAACGGAGCCUCACUGCAUCGAAUAGAACGCAAAGCAAGUCAACAACCUUCAAUAAAUAAAAUAUGGGAUCCCUAUUGUUAGCUUAGUGAAAGGGGGUUGUGCUGCUUUUCCCAAGAUUAUUCUACCAGCUGAAGAGAGAAUGGGAGAACGAAAUUGUGGUUGUGCAACAUCUCAAAGUGUUAAUCCUUCCCAACUAACAAAAUCCAAGCUUUAGUCCACUUAACCCCACCUCCUACACACUUGUCUUUUGGGUGCUUAAAACGCAUAUUUUUCACAAAAAUAUUCUUUCGAUUUUAUCCUUUCCCUUUUUCAAAUAACACAGGAGAGCCAGAGCACAUUAACUUUUGCACAAUACAAACCAGCAUCAUACAUAUUGCAAUUUGCAAGGAAAAUGUCGUCUCUUUCUUUCUUAUGACGAUCAACUCGUAUUCAACAGAGAAAGAAACAAUAAAUUCAUUCAGUGUAGAUAACAUAAAUGCAUGGUUGUCUAUUCAUAGAAGCUAAUAAAAUAUUGCUUAUCACUUAACAAUGCUGCAUGGAACUAGUGACCAAAAGAAACAAAAGAUCUUACUUGUAACGCUUGUAAGCUAAACCUCUAAAAGCAGCUUUAGCUUCUGCUGGUUCAAGAAAAAUAACCUGAAAUAUCAUCUCCAAAUAAUUCAAAGCUUGAACAAUAAGAAUUUAGUGUUACCAAUUCAUUCAACAAUGAACAAAUAACAAUAAAAGCAAUAAAUUUUAAAAUGCCUCGUUGCUGAAAACAAGCUCCACCAAUCAAUUAAAACAAAUAUGCAACAAAAUGCCUAUAAGUAUAUUAAAGUUCCCAUAAUACUUAUAUUAAAAAGAGUUACGACUUACGACCCAUUGAAACCAGGUGUAGAUCAAAAGACUUAAUACCAAAUCUCAUCCAUUCAAUUUGAUUGAUCCAAUGAAUCAUAUAUUCCAUCUAUUGAAAUUUUAAAAAAUAAAAAAUAAAAAUAAAAACUUUAAGUGAGGCAUGCAUGCAAUUUUUUUUUCUUUCUCCCCACCACGAUAUAUUAAUUGAACUAAUGCACUGUUCAGCGCUCCUCAGAGUUGCAGAAGCUAAAGCUGGGGGUCAUAUCACUUCUCCCCUAAUGAUCAGGCUUUAGAUUUAGAUUAUAGAUAGCAUAUAGUAUUAGAGCUCAUUCCUAUCAGUUUGUGGUUUGUUGAACCUUCAAUCAUCAAUAUGAAAUUAGACAAUUUGGGUGCAAAUUUGUGGCCAUAUAAAUAUAUCUCAAUCAUGUCAAUUUAAGUAAUCCUCCAAUGCUAAGUGCUCUUGUUUUAGAAUUUGGGAUUGAUUUUUUUCAUGUGGCAUCAUAAUAAUAUCUACAAAUUCCAAUUGAAGCUUCAAGAGAUUGAUGUCAAGUUUGGUACUAAUCUUUGAGUCUAGGUAUUAGUGAGGCACACUGAUGAAUUCGGUUUUGAUGUUAGUAGAAAUGACAACGAAGACGGAAUCACACGCGUGCCUCAAUUAGGUAUUUUUAUUUUAUUUCACAGAUGGAAUAUUAUGAGCCAUUUGAUACAUUAUAUUUAACAGCUGAGAUUUGUAGUAAGUCUAAUAACUUACACCCGGUGUCAGCAGAUCCUUACUCUAAAAAAAAUCCAAUAAUACAGUACAUUACCAUCAUGUACAGCAGAUGGUGCAGAUGAGAACAUGUAGAACCCAAAGGACCAUAAUAUUUAUUAUUAUUAAAAAAUUAUAUAUAAAUAAAACACUAACGAUAUGGUAAUAUAGUUUUCAAAACGUAAAAGAAUAACUUCAUGCACAAGAUUGUUAUUUGUUUUUUCUUUAGGAUAUCAGGACACAAGACUGUUCCACAACCACAUAUUAUGAAAGAAGAAAUACUAUCGAAAGUUGAAUUGAGAAAUAAUUGAAUGAAAACUUUAUUAGAAAUUAUAAUAAAACUAGGCUAUAUAAUAAGCUAUCAAAUGUACACACGGCCACCCCCCAAAAUAAAAAAUACAUAAGACACAUCAUGAACAUAAGGAGAGGGAAAAAUACCAGGGCCAAUGUUUUUGUCGAGGGGAGAAUUAUUUUAUCCAAACUACCAAAUUUCCCAAACAUCUUUGCAAGUUCAUUUUCCGUAGCACCAUAUGGCAAAUUUUUUGCUAAAAGUACAUGGUUACUUCUUUUCACGCCAUCAACUUUACAAUUCACAAGCUCCUCCAGAGACUCCACAUUCACUCCAGCUUUUUUAAAUGCAUUUUUUGUUUCAAAAAUCACUUGAGUUUGUGCCAGAGAAUGACGUGAAGCAAGAUCAUCAGCUUCUGGAUCAAGAAAAUCACUUUUACUAACACCAUAUUUCCGAGAAGCGUUUUCUGCAAUCUAUUAACAUCAACACAUGAUUAAAAUAUACUUAAUACACACAAGCAACCUGCUGGCGACACAGCAUCACCAAAAACAUUUUAGGAAGUAUAAUCAAUUAGACAGUGAUGUUAAUUCCAUCACUAAAAAACAACAUAUUUGCACCCACCAAUAAAAGGAAAUAUUAUAAUGCCAAGGAAAAAUGAAAUUAUGACUGCAUUGGAAAAUGGAAACAUCAAUAGUUUUAACUAUUUUCUCAAUAAAAGAAAGUUCUCAACAGUUUCUCACACCACAUAACCCCAAUAUAAAAAAUUAUACUUUUUUAUGUAUGUAUGGAAGCAAAACUUACUAACCCUGGAUAUUUUUUUAUAGCAAAGGAAAAAUAUUUGAAAAGCAAGACGAGAUAAACAAAUAGAAGAAAAAUAGAUCUUUAAAAAAAAAAAACAAGAAGUAAAACAGGUAAUCUUCCAAAACAAAGUACAACAGUUGGCAAAGUGUGUGCUUGAUCUACCUAGCAGGACUGGACAAACAGAAUAACACAGUACAAGUUAUUGAAUUACAACACAACCUUUUGUUCUAUUUUCUGUUAGGUGAUCAAUGCACAACGCAAGUUGUUUUGAGGAACAUGAGGGGACGAAAGAAUGCAGAAGGUACAUUAGAGAGAGGAAGAAGCUCAGGGAAAAUAGCAAUUGAGGAUAAAAUGAAAAGAUUGGCUACUUUUUUACUUUUCCAAUUUGUUGUGAGUGGGACAAAAAGUUGUCCCAUGGAUUUAUUUUUGAAUAAGAUGUCAUGAAUAUUGAGGCCUAACUCAUCCAUAAAAACCGGCUUGUACGGUGAAGAGUGCCUCCUCUUUAUAAACUCUUCUCAAGAUUCCUAUCUAUCCGAUGUGGGACUAAAUCCCACCCGAGAGUUGGCCGCUAACACACCCCCUCACGCUUCAGCCCGGCCCAAUGGGCCUGAAGCGUGGAGAUGCAGGAAGCCCAACGAUGGACCCGAUAGGCUCUGAUACCAUGUCAUGAAUAUCGAGGCCUAACUCAUCCAUAAAAACCGGCUUGUACGGUGAAGAGUGCCUCCUCUUUAUAAACUCUUCUCAAGAUUCCUAUCUAUCCGAUGUGGGACUAAAUCCCACCCGAGAGUUGGCCGCUAACAUAAGAAAAUUUAAGAAGUGUCCUAUCCUUCAAGUUUCGCUUUGUUUAGUUAGACAACCAUUCUUCAAAUCAAGCGCCUAAAAGUUCUUCAGAAUAAAACAGCUGACACGCCCAAUCUCUAUGCAUGCUAGAAAUAGCAACCUCAAUGAAAUAUCCAUUGUGAGACUAUAACAGUUCAAUCCUACAGGUUUUGGGGGCAAAACAUAAACUGAGCAUCCCUCUUCAACAAGUGAUGCUCCCACCAUCACCCCCCCCACACACACACACACCAAAACCUAACCAAAGCACAAGGAAACCCUCCCCAAAAAUAGAAUAGACUUGUUUCAUGAGGAAAUGGUUGCUAACAGUGCAGGAACAAGUGCUUUGCUUCUGAACUAGAGCAACAAAUACAUAAAGAACAACGUCAAAAUUUGAAAUCAUGCCACAAGUUGUGACUUUCUAUAGAAAAUAUGAAGAUAAAAUAAGCAUUAUUCAAAACAUGAAUGAACUAUUGAAAAAUUGGCAACUCAAAAAGGAUGAAAUAAUAGAAUCAUAAAUUUCAAUUUCAUCGUAAGGAAACAUACUGUAUCAGGGCGCAUGAACAGACUAUUCCAUGCUCUGGUAUCUCCUUUAGCUUCAGCUGCUUUCCUUUCUUCCACUCUUCGUUGUUUGAGAGUUUUAGAGCCUUGGUUCUUGUUCCUACAACAUGUAAACCAUAAAAUGACAAUACAUGAUAAUGCAAAUAUACAAUUUAACACUGUUGAUGAAGCAAUAUUAUGUCUUACUCUUCAUUGUUUGAAUGUAUUGGUAUAGCUGCAAUAACAUGCAAUAAUCUCCCCUGGAAGAUUGAAUUGUCCGACUCUUCUAGCGCCCUGAUAAACAUUUAUCAUACAAUUGCAUUAAUUGCAAUCAACUUGAUGACAAGCACCAGCUUAUGUUUUGAAACGGUAUUAGUGUUGCUAAACGUAGCAGCUAUCUGAAGUCUACUGAUGUUGUAGCUACAGAUACAAUUCAAUUGACGUGGAAUGAUGCAAUUCCAACCCACUUCAGUUCAUUGCAGAAAACAUUUCCAAUAAAUUCCAAGAGGUUCUUAGAAUGUUUUAGAACUUUUCGAUAACUCAAAACAAUAUAGUAAUCCUUUCAUUUUCCAGGAUCCGGCUCCUCUAAAAUGAGCAACUCACUUUAGAGUGUAAAGUGAAUAAUAUCAAUCGUUAAUUAAAAAAUCAAAGGUAGAUAUUGUAGGUACAUUAUAACAAGUCAUGAGUUUGUUAAAAUAACAACCUUUGAUUUUCUCGCUUUACACUUCACUAACUUUAGAUGAUCUAAAUCCCAUUUUACAGGACAAGGCCCAAGUGGAAAAUCCAAUUUUUGAUCUUUUAAAUAAAAAAAUAUAUUAUUUUUGCUAGUUGCAAGUAUUAUUUAAAAGAAAAAGAACACAAACAAGACACUCUUGGAAUUCCCUCCUUAACAACAGAAGUACAGUAGAGACAACAAGCGAAAUCCAACGCAUCACAUGUCUGCCAAUACACCCUUAAAUAGACAAUGGAUGAACAUUAAAAGACUGAGAAGAAUCCUUGAAGACAUGAACAAUUCACAAAAGCCAAAAACAAGACAAAAGAAGAUAGGUGACACAACAUCAUAAAGUCUUUUGCUCCUCAAUUCUCCCAGUUCCUCUAAAGCUAGUCAAUUGAAAUUGUUUCAAAUUGAAAAGACACGCCCUAAAGUAACCAUAACCACUAAAUAAGUAACUCUGCGAGAAUGUGGAUAAGGUUGUGGGGAAGUUUUUGAUAAGAACUUGGGUAUUAUGGAACGGGGUGCCUCAGUGGAGUGUUAAAGUGGUUUGGUUCCCUCUUGAUAGCUAGCUUUUAAGGGAAGGUUCGCCAAGUGCUUGGAUUGGACAAAAGAUUAUUUAUGCCUACAUCUGCAACCUGAAGAUUCUUUAAAAAAAAAAAGACUUAAUGCUUCAAAAGCAUUCCCUCACAAAUUCUACAACUCAACCAUGAACAAAAAGAAAGAUUUACAAUAUAAUAGUUGGUAUAAAUUAAGGUGAGACAACAAUUUCUAUCCAUCUAGUUGUUACCUGGCUGCAAAUUCUGGAACUGAAAAAUGAAUAAAAGCUCUUCCUUUGGAUCGCUUUGUAUCCUUAUCAACAACUAAAUGAACCUGUGAGACACUGCCAAACUGACUGAAAUGCUCUUCGAGUUCCUCCUCACUGCAAUGGAAUAACAAUAAAAAUAUAAAACCAACUAGAAAUAUAAAAAAUAUUAAGGUCAAUUGAAAUUAACUUGCAGAAGACAUUCAUUCUUGUAGAAAAANCUAAACCAAACACAACUAGAGCAAAAGAAUGGUAAAAAUAGGCCAAACCUCUAUUCUGUCUGGAUCAAUAUCAGCAUCUGAUAUUCUUUCCACGUCCUUCUCUAAUAUCACUCGCUUGACAUCCUUUCCACCAAUUCCACUAUUCACCUCAUUAUUUAUAGAUGUUGAUUUUGAGGUAAGAAUAUCGGAAGGAGCCCACUCCAAGUAUAACGGAGCCUCACUGCAUCGAAUAGAACGCAAAGCAAGUCAACAACCUUCAAUAAAUAAAAUAUGGGAUCCCUAUUGUUAGCUUAGUGAAAGGGGGUUGUGCUGCUUUUCCCAAGAUUAUUCUACCAGCUGAAGAGAGAAUGGGAGAACGAAAUUGUGGUUGUGCAACAUCUCAAAGUGUUAAUCCUUCCCAACUAACAAAAUCCAAGCUUUAGUCCACUUAACCCCACCUCCUACACACUUGUCUUUUGGGUGCUUAAAACGCAUAUUUUUCACAAAAAUAUUCUUUCGAUUUUAUCCUUUCCCUUUUUCAAAUAACACAGGAGAGCCAGAGCACAUUAACUUUUGCACAAUACAAACCAGCAUCAUACAUAUUGCAAUUUGCAAGGAAAAUGUCGUCUCUUUCUUUCUUAUGACGAUCAACUCGUAUUCAACAGAGAAAGAAACAAUAAAUUCAUUC
rnacentral:lncRNA from 1 species